rnacentral:rRNA from 1 species
UGGGGAAUCUUAGACAAUGGGCGCAAGCCUGAUCUAGCCAUGCCGCGUGAGUGACGAAGGUCUUAGGAUCGUAAAGCUCUUUCGCCAGAGAUGAUAAUGACAGUAUCUGGUAAAGAAACCCCGGCUAACUCCGUGCCAGCAGCCGCGGUAAUACGGAGGGGGUUAGCGUUGUUCGGAAUUACUGGGCGUAAAGCGUACGUAGGCGGAUUGGAAAGUAGGGGGUGAAAUCCCAGGGCUCAACCCUGGAACUGCCUCCUAAACUAUCAGUCUAGAGUUCGAGAGAGGUGAGUGGAAUUCCAAGUGUAGAGGUGAAAUUCGUAGAUAUUUGGAGGAACACCAGUGGCGAAGGCGGCUCACUGGCUCGAUACUGACGCUGAGGUACGAAAGUGUGGGGAGCAAACAGGAUUAGAUACCCUGGUAGUCCACACCGUAAACGAUGAAUGCCAGUCGUCGGGGAGCUUGCUCUUCGGUGACACACCUAAC